AGUGAACGAGGGAGGAAGGAAGAACACAUGCAAGUCGAGCGGAUGAAGGGAGCUUGCUCCUGGAUUCAGCGGCGGACGGGUGAGUAAUGCCUAGGAAUCUGCCUGGUAGUGGGGGAUAACGUCCGGAAACGGGCGCUAAUACCGCAUACGUCCUGAGGGAGAAAGUGGGGGAUCUUCGGACCUCACGCUAUCAGAUGAGCCUAGGUCGGAUUAGCUAGUUGGUGGGGUAAAGGCCUACCAAGGCGACGAUCCGUAACUGGUCUGAGAGGAUGAUCAGUCACACUGGAACUGAGACACGGUCCAGACUCCUACGGGAGGCAGCAGUGGGGAAUAUUGGACAAUGGGCGAAAGCCUGAUCCAGCCAUGCCGCGUGUGUGAAGAAGGUCUUCGGAUUGUAAAGCACUUUAAGUUGGGAGGAAGGGCAGUAAGUUAAUACCUUGCUGUUUUGACGUUACCAACAGAAUAAGCACCGGCUAACUUCGUG
rnacentral:rRNA from 1 species